rfam:Apaloderma vittatum contig75566, whole genome shotgun sequence.
GGCUGGUUAGCUCAGUCAGUUGAGCAUGACGCUAACAACAUCAAGGUCACGGGUUCGAUUCCCGUUUGGUCCC